rnacentral:rRNA from 1 species
GUGGGGAAUAUUGCGCAAUAGGGGAAACCCUGACGCAGCGACGCCGCGUGGGUGAUGAAGGCCUUCGGGUCGUAAAGCCCUGUGGGAGAGGGACGAAACACUGCCGGGAACAAUACCCCGGUGGCCUGACGGUACCUCUCCAGAAAGCACCGGCUAACUCCGUGCCAGCAGCCGCGGUAAGACGGAGGGUGCUAACGUUGCUCGGAAUUACUGGGCGUAAAGCGCGUGUAGGCGGACUAGCAAGCGAGAUGUGAAAGCCCUCGGCUCAACCGAGGAAGUGCAUUUCGAACUGCUCGUCUUGAGUGCGGGAGAGGGAGGUAGAAUUCCCGGUGUAGAGGUGAAAUUCGUAGAUAUCGGGAGGAAUACCGGUGGCGAAGGCGGCCUCCUGGACCGACACUGACGCUGAGACGCGAAAGCGUGGGGAGCAAACAGGAUUAGAAACCCCAGUAGUCC